rnacentral:rRNA from 1 species
UACGUAGGGUGCAAGCGUUGUCCGGAAUUAUUGGGCGUAAAGAGCUCGUAGGCGGUUUGUUGCGUCGGCUGUGAAAUCCCGAGGCUCAACCUCGGGUCUGCAGUCGAUACGAGCAAACUAGAGUGUUGCAGGGGAGACUGGAAUUCCUGGUGUAGCGGUGAAUGCGCAGAUAUCAGGAGGAACACCGGUGGCGAAGGCGGGUCUCUGGGCAACAACUGACGCUGGAGGAGCGAAAGCGUGGGAGCGAACAGGAUUA